CCUACGUGUGGCAGCAGUGAGGAAUAUUGGUCAAUGGGCGCGAGCCUGAACCAGCCAAGUCGCGUGAGGGAAGACGGUCCUAUGGAUUGUAAACCUCUUUUGUCGGGGAGCAAAAGACGCCACGCGUGGCGUUCCGAGAGUACCCGAAGAAAAAGCAUCGGCUAACUCCGUGCCAGCAGCCGCGGUAAUACGGGGGAUGAGAGCGUUAUCCGGAUGUAUUGGGUUUAAAGGGUGCGCAGGCGGAAGAUCAAGUCAGCGGGAAAAUUGAGAGGCUCAACCUCUUCGAGCCGUUGAAACUGGUUUUCUUGAGUGAGCGAGAGGUAUGCGGAAUGCGUGGUGUAGCGGUGAAAUGCAUAGAUAUCACGCAGAACUCCGAUUGCGAAGGCAGCAUACCGGCGCUCAACUGACGCUCAUGCACGAAAGUGUGGGUAGCGAACAGGAUUAGAUACCCCUGUAGUC
rnacentral:rRNA from 1 species